GACAAUUGAGGACGCCAGCAGAAGGACGAAGCUCCAGGCUCUCCUCUUUUCUCCUCUUUUCUCCUCUCCUCUGUCUUGAGUGCAGGAGCUGGUCGCUAGAGACACUCCAAAUGAUUAUGGUCCACAGGCAUUCCCCAAGAUGGCAAUAGUUCAGAGGGCACACUUUUUUUAUGUUAAGCCACUCAGCAGAGGAUGUCGCCAAGCCAUCAAAUCUUAGGCCUCAUUGGGGGGGCUUACUCUCCCUCUGCCAUAGAAUUACCAGGCCCUAAGUAUGAUGCAUUCCACCAAGGAACCAUGUAAUGACAUCUCUUGACCUUCAGAGAUGGAUCAGAGGAGCACCUGCGCUUGGCUGUGACUGAGGGCUGUGAACACCUGGACGCCAGAUUCUAUCCUGUUAGAUCAGCAAAGUAGAAGGACUAUACGCGACGCCAGAGAUGGAAGUGGGCUUCAGCAGAACUCCCCCGCAUGACGGAUGGUGACCAGGCAGGGCAGCCAGUCAGCCAGAGAGGAUCAGGAACCCUCAGGAAUAUGAACUAGAGAUCAGAGAUUUUUUCCUAAACAGGGGCAGAGCAUUGAAAACUCGGGGAAGGUAGCAGGCAGCCUGAAUCACUGACCUUCAGGCAAUAUCUCCAUCCACACAGCGAACGGCAGACACGCACAAUCCAUCAAAAGGCACGUGAACUUUCUCUCCUCAAAGGUUCCCUGGAUGGAUCACGCUCAUCAGUUUGGAUAUGAAUAUUACAUAGAUGCAGCAAGCGCAUUGUCUUCACUGUUAGCUUUAGAUCAUUCUGUACAUUUCAGCUGCAUGUGGAUUGCAAAUCGCGGGCCUCUGAAGUAAAAUAGACCUCAGCUAAAUCAACAUUCAACCGCACUCCAGGGGAGCUCAGAGAGACCACAAACGCAUACACUUUAGAUUGUUUACAGCAUACAAAAUUCACUCUCGUCUCCCCAGACUUAAAGAUAUGCCUCCGCACCCACUGCUGUUUGGUUAUGUAUUUUAAAAAAAGAAAAGAAAACACACACAUGUUAAAUUUUGUUUUUCUUACAUAUUUCACAAUUUGAAUCACAAUUUGA